AAGGAUUCCCCCAGUAACGGCGAGUGAAGCGGGAUGAGCUCAAAUUUGAAAUCUCCGGUGCUUGCACCGGCGAGUUGUAGUUGCGAGAAGCACUUUCUAGGCGGAUCGGUGGCGCCUAAGUUGCUUGGAACAGCAUGUCGCAGAGGGUGACAACCCCGUCUGUGGCGUGGCCGGCCGCUGACGAUGUGCUUUCGAAGAGUCGGGUUGUUUGGGAAUGCAGCCCAAAAUGGGUGGUAAACUCCAUCUAAAGCUAAAUAUUGGCGUGAGACCGAUAGCGAAGGAAACGAAUGGACUCAGCAAUGCGCCGUUUGAGAUUCAGCCGGAGGGUGGGAUCGGCUCGGGGCUUGCGGAUCUGAAUGGACCGCGGCCUUGGGCUCGUUUCUCCUCGCCGUCGCACUUCUCUUGGGCGCGCGUCAACGUCGGUUGGGACUGGGUCUGAAAGGUGCCGGGAAGGUAGGUCUGGACCUCCGGGUCCGGUCUGUUACAGCCCGGUUCUCUCAUGGCUCGGGCUCGACCGAGGAGUCGCAGCGCAUGCCUCUUGUGGCUAGGGUGCCGUCCUUCCGGCCGGUUGUCGAAUGUGGUGGACUGCUUGCAGUGCUCCGCGACUGCUGCCGGUCGUUGGGGUGGUGAUCU
rnacentral:rRNA from 1 species